UCGAGUUUGAUCAUGGCUCAGAUUGAACGCUGGCGGCAGGCCUAACACAUGCAAGUCGAGCGGUAGCACAGGAGAGCUUGCUCUCUGGGUGACGAGCGGCGGACGGGUGAGUAAUGUCUGGGAAACUGCCUGAUGGAGGGGGAUAACUACUGGAAACGGUAGCUAAUACCGCAUGACCUCGCAAGAGCAAAGUGGGGGACCUUCGGGCCUCACGCCAUCGGAUGUGCCCAGAUGGGAUUAGCUAGUAGGUGGGGUAAUGGCUCACCUAGGCGACGAUCCCUAGCUGGUCUGAGAGGAUGACCAGCCACACUGGAACUGAGACACGGUCCAGACUCCUACGGGAGGCAGCAGUGGGGAAUAUUGCACAAUGGGCGCAAGCCUGAUGCAGCCAUGCCGCGUGUGUGAAGAAGGCCUUAGGGUUGUAAAGCACUUUCAGCGAGGAGGAAGGGUUCAGUGUUAAUAGCACUGAUGCAUUGACGUACUCG
rnacentral:rRNA from 1 species